rnacentral:rRNA from 1 species
AUUGAACGCUGGCGGCAUGCCUUACACAUGCAAGUCGAACGGCAGCAUGGGUGCUUGCACCUGAUGGCGAGUGGCGAACGGGUGAGUAAUGCAUCGGAACGUACCUUUCAGUGGGGGAUAACGUAGCGAAAGUUACGCUAAUACCGCAUAUUCUGUGAGCAGGAAAGCAGGGGCUCUUGGGACCUUGCGCUGAUGGAGCGGCCGAUGUCAGAUUAGCUAGUUGGUGGGGUAAAGGCCGACCAAGGCGACGAUCUGUAGCGGGUCUGAGAGGAUGAUCCGCCACACUGGGACUGAGACACGGCCCAGACUCCUACGGGAGGCAGCAGUGGGGAAUUUUGGACAAUGGGGGCAACCCUGAUCCAGCCAUGCCGCGUGAGUGAAGAAGGCCUUCGGGUUGUAAAGCUCUUUCGGACGGGAAGAAAUCGUGGUGGCUAAUAUCUGCCAUGGAUGACGGUACCGUAAUAAGAAGCACCGGCUAACUACGUGCCAGCAGCCGCCGUAA